rnacentral:tRNA from 1 species
UCUUUAAUAGCUCAGGGGUUAGAGCGGCAGACUGUUAAUCUGUCGGCCGUAGGUUCAAAUCCUACUUAAAGAG